CGCCCAUGUUGAACAGGGGAUACUAACCGCCCGAGACCUGCCUGACACCCCUUGUGGGUGAAGGGUUUUGGUGGAGCGCGGGACCUGAUCCUGGGAGGCAAGCGUAUUAACA
rnacentral:rRNA from 1 species